rnacentral:rRNA from 1 species
CGCGUAGGCGGGCUGUUUAGUCGGGGGUGAAAUCGUUCGGCCCAACCGGACAAGGGCCUCCGAUACUGGCAGUCUCGAGGGAGGUAGGGGUUGGUGGAACUUCCGGUGGAGCGGUGAAAUGCGUAGAUAUCGGAAGGAACGCCGGUGGCGAAAGCGGCCAACUGGACCUCUUCUGACGCUGAUGCGCGAAAGCUAGGGGAGCGAACG